rnacentral:rRNA from 1 species
UACGUAGGGGGCUAGCGUUGUCCGGAAUCAUUGGGCGUAAAGAGCGUGUAGGCGGUCCGGUAAGUCCGCUGUGAAAGUCGGGGGCUCAACCCUCGAAUGCCGGUGGAUACUGUCGGGCUAGAGUGCGGAAGAGGCGAGUGGAAUUCCUGGUGUAGCGGUGAAAUGCGCAGAUAUCAGGAGGAGCACCUAUUGCGAAGGCAGCUCGCUGGGACGUAACUGACGCUGAGACGCGAAAGCGUGGGGAGCAAACAGG